UACGAAAGGUGCAAGCGUUACUCGGAAUCACUGGGCGUAAAGCGCACGUAGGCGGACUCGUAGGUCAAUUGUGAAAUACCUGGGCUCAACCCGGGAACUGCAGUUGAAACCGCUUGUCUUGAAUACCUGAGAGGGUGGGGGAAUACCUGGUGGAGAAGUGAAAUUCGUAGAGAUCAGGCGGAACACCGGAGGCGAAGGCGCCUGCCUGGCAGUGUAUUGACGCUGAGGUGCGAAAGUGCGGGGAGCAAACAGG
rnacentral:rRNA from 1 species